rnacentral:rRNA from 1 species
GACGAACGCUGGCGGCGUGCUUAAUACAUGCAAGUCGAGCGAGGUUACUGUUUCGGAUCCCUUCGGGGUGAAGAAGCUUUAACCUAGCGGCGGACGGGUGAGUAACGCGUGGGUAACCUACCCCAAAGUCCGGGAUAACAGCGGGAAACCGCUGCUAAUACCGGAUGCCUUUACCUUGGGGCAUCUUGAGGUAAAGAAAGGUAACGCUUUGGGAUGGGCCCGCGUCCCAUUAGCUAGUUGGUGAGGUAACGGCUCACCAAGGCAACGACGGGUAGCCGGCCUGAGAGGGUGGUCGGCCACACUGGGACUGAGACACGGCCCAGACUCCUACGGGAGGCAGCAGUGGGGAAUCUUCCGCAAUGGGCGAAAGCCUGACGGAGCGACGCCGCGUGGGUGAAGAAGGCCUUCGGGUCGUAAAGCACUGUUGUAUGGGAAGAACAGCUAGAAUAGGGAAUGAUUUUAGUUUGACGGUACCAUACCAGAAAGGGACGGCUAAAUACGUG